CCUCACUAGUCGAGUCGUCCUGCGCGGAAGAUGUAACGGGGCUCAAACUGUGCACCGAAGCUGCGGAUAUCGAAAGAUAUGGUAGGGGAGCGUUCUGUAGGUCUGUGAAGGUGUCUUGUAAAGGAUGCUGGAGAUAUCAGAAGUGCGAAUGCUGACAUGAGUAGCGAUAAAGGGCGUGAAAAGCGCCCUCGCCGAAGGCCCAAGGUUUCCUACGCAACGUUCAUCGGCGUAGGGUGAGUCGGCUCCUAAGGCGAGGCAGAAAUGCGUAGUCGAUGGGAAACAGGUCAAUAUUCCUGUACCGAUUCUAGAUGCGAUGUGGGGACGGAGAAGGUUAGGUCAGCCGGGUGUUGGACGUCCCGGUUUAAGCGUGUAGGCGUGCCCCUUAGGCAAAUCCGGGGGGCUGAGCUGAGGCGUGAUGACGAGGAACCACGGUUCCGAAGUGAUUGAUACCGAGCUUCCAGGAAAAGCCACUAAGCUUCAGUCUAGAGUUGACCGUACCGCAAACCGACACAGGUGGGCAGGAUGAAAAUUCUAAGGCGCUUGAGAGAACUCAGGAGAAGGAACUCGGCAAAUUAACACCGUAACUUCGGGAGAAGGUGUGCCCCGGUAGCGUGUAGAGACUUGCUCUCGAAGCGCGAUGGGGUUGCAGUGAAAUGGUGGCUGCGACUGUUUAAUAAAAACACAGCACUCUGCAAACACGAAAGUGGACGUAUAGGGUGUGACGCCUGCCCGGUGCCGGAAGGUUAAGUGAUGGGGUGCAAGCUCUUGAUCGAAGCCCCGGUAAACGGCGGCCGUAACGAUAACGGUCCUAAGGUAGCGAAAUUCCUUGUCGGGUAAGUUCCGACCUGCACGAAUGGCGUAACGAUGGCCACACUGUCUCCUCCUGGGACUCAGCGAAGUUGAAAUGUUUGUGAAGAUGCAAUCUACCCGCGGCUAGACGGAAAGACCCCAUGAACCUUUACUGUAGCUUUGCAUUGGACUUUGAACCGGUUUGUGUAGGAUAGGUGGGAGACUGUGAAGCCGGGACGCUAGUUUCGGUGGAGUCAACCUUGAAAUACCACCCUGAUUUGUUUGAGGUUCUAACCUUGGUCCGUGAAUCCGGAUCGGGGACCGUGCAUGGUAGGCAGUUUGACUGGGGCGGUCUCCUCCCAAAAGGUAACGGAGGAGUACGAAGGUACGCUUAGGGCGGUCGGACAUCGCCCACAAAGUGCAAUGGCAAAAGCGUGCUUGACUGCGAGACCCACAAGUCGAGCAGGUACGAAAGUAGGUCAUAGUGAUCCGGUGGUUCUGUAUGGAAGGGCCAUCGCUCAACGGAUAAAAGGUACUCUGGGGAUAACAGGCUAAUUCCUCCCAAGAGUUCAUAUCGACGGGGGAGUUUGGCACCUCGAUGUCGGCUCAUCACAUCCUG
rnacentral:rRNA from 1 species